GAUGAACGCUGGCGGCGUGCCUAAUACAUGCGAGUCGAGCGAACAGAUGAGGAGCUUGCUCCUCUGACGUUAGCGGCGGACGGGUGAGUAACACGUGGAUAACCUACCUAUAAGACUGGGAUAACUUCGGGAAACCGGAGCUAAUACCGGAUAAUAUAUUGAACCGCAUGGUUCAAUAGUGAAAGACGGUUUUGCUGUCACUUAUAGAUGGAUCCGCGCCGCAUUAGCUAGUUGGUAAGGUAACGGCUCACCAAGGCAACGAUGCGUAGCCGACCUGAGAGGGUGAUCGGCCACACUGGAACUGAGACACGGUCCAGACUCCUACGGGAGGCAGCAGUAGGGAAUCUUCCGCAAUGGGCGAAAGCCUGACGGAGCAACGCCGCGUGAGUGAUGAAGGUCUUCGGAUCGUAAAACUCUGUUAUUAGGGAAGAACAAAUGUGUAAGUAACUAUGCACGUCUUGACGGUACCUAAUCAGAAAGCCACGGCUAACUACGUG
rnacentral:rRNA from 1 species